CUUUUCUUUUUUUUUUUUUUUUUUUUGGAUAUAUUCUCAUGGUGAUUCAAAACCCAGCUCUCGGUGCUUUGGACUUUGUUAUUAGGCCAUUGGUUCUUUGUAAAAUGGUCACUAUGAGAAUAACCUUUCCAAAGUCACUAUGCAUUGGCCAUAAGAAUAUCAAUGAAGGCACUGCCUACCUUUAAAAAAAAGUUAUCUGUAUAAAAACAGCCAAUAUGAGAAUCUAUGUAAAAAGUUUCCUUUAGUGUCAACACUAAAAGAGGCUUUCCUUCCACAGAACUGGUGAGUUUUGCCCCUGUCAUCAAUUCAACAAAUCAAUGGUAUGUUUCACUCUUUGUUUUAAAGAGCUACCAAAAAAGCUCCAAUUCUAAAUUUUGGUUGAAGUAUACCCACUGGAAAUGACCACUGUGAUCUGGAUAUAUAAUCCUAUUUUCUCCUUGUCACACAGUCUAUUAUUUCAUUUCCUUGUUCUUGAUUUCUAUUAAUGUUUCACUAUAUAUUUAACGUGUGACCUCAGGUACACCUCAUCCUAUUUAUGGAAUGAGAUGGGUACAAACCAGCAAACUCUUACUACUAACAUACAAAUAACAAAACUUCAAUUACCAGAUACUCAAAUGAGCCUAUAUUCUCUUUAUGGAGGAUUGUCGAUAAGGUAGAACACUGAUCAAACAAAUCUAUGCAAUUCUGAGUUUAUGCUGGACUUAAUAUAGUUUUUUGUUUUUGUUUUUGUUUUUAUUUCUAGAAAGGCAGCAAACUACCUAGGAUGUAUAUAGUUUUUGAUAACCAAUGAAAAAGUACUCGGUAUUAUCUUCUUCAGAAAAGGAAAAACAGAUUCUAAACUGAGGUCUCAAUUUACUGAUUUUUUUUUUUUUCCCUCUGAAGUGAAAACCUAGAAUGUCAGCCCUUUUUGCUCACCUGGAGGAUGCAAAAGGGGGUAGGCUUUCUGAGCAGCUCUUGCAUAAUGAAGCAAAAUUCAUUGUGUUCUGGCCCGGCUCCCAAUUUAACCAAGGCAGGCAGAGGGCUGGAGCCCUGUUCACAUACUGGUCAGGCUGCCAGAGUCCCUCCAGCAACCAGCCAGUGCAAUGGGCUGCUCUGUGGCCUCACGCCUCAGUGCCAUGGGAGAAAGAACAGGGGAACGAAUGUGUCCCUGUGCUUGGCUCGCUCCUGUGCCCACCUUCCUUCCUCUCAGCUGCCAUGCUGUCCACAUGCACCAAGGAUGCCGCUGCAGGAAAGGUGCCCACCACCCCCUACCCUGUUCCAGCCAACAGCUCCCUUCCUGGGUCUGGGUCCUCCUCUGUCCUACCUCUCAGAGCACCUAGCAUAUUCUCCAUCAACACCCUUACACACCAUCGUCCACUGCCGUUUAGGACCACAUGCCCACAAGAAGCCACAAUUACCAUUCAUCUUCUCUGAUCCCUUUCCCUGAAAUUUUUGGUGGCUUUUUUUUUCUUUUAUGGGUUUUCUAUCUCGUGCUAGUCAUUUACUUUCUAUGGUUACUAUCUGAUUAAAAAGGGAUGUUAUUAUUGGUGCUACCAUUGGGUUUCCCAAGAAAAUCUAUAUCCUGGCCCCGUGCUGAGCUGGAAAUCUGUGCAAACAGCUGCUAGGUGUUUGGUGAUCUGGGCUUCCCUCCUUGUCUGAGCUCCGCAAUGCUGCAGGGACCUUGGAAUGGGAUGACCCGUCCGGUUCUCACACUAACACGAUAUCCCCACUGAGAGAGGCAAACAUUUAGCCCACAUUUUUUUCUUCUCUCUGGAGCUCGUGCUGAGCAUCAGAAGGUAAAACUAAAGUGGAGCAUUAUACUACCCACAGUCCUAAACACCCCGUCACUUGCCAGGUCUACACUCUGCAGUGCUAAAUGAACCGCCGACAAAGUCACCUUGACGGUGGGCUUUCACCCACCUCCCCUCGCUGGGUAGCCUCUGGCAUGUGUCGAGACUGGGAAUCCAGAAACCUGUUUGAGCUCUGCUCUGUAGCCGUGGCCCUGGCUGAAUCACUAAAUCCAUCUGUGUUUCAGGUCCUGUAAACCGUCAGGAUUCACCCCAAACCAUCUCUAAGUUUCCUACCAGCUAUAACACAAAGAGAACCCUCAACAUGAACCUUCUAAAACCAAGUUCAAAGAAAAAUAACAUAUAUUUACAAAGAAAGGCAAAUUGUCACAAAAAUAAAUGUUGUCCUUCACGGUCAUUCUAUGGAACUGAUUUAACGCUCUUCACUGAUAGGAAACUCAUACCCUGGAGUAACAAGCCACACCGGCUCUGCCCCAGCCAGGAAGGUCCAGCUUCGGAAACCACCGCCCUGCUCGCUUCUAAAAGCUGCCCUUGUGGCUCAGAAGAGCUGACACACUCUCCAAAAUGGUCUAUUACUCCCACGGACAGUUGGAGACCUCAUGUAAUGACUGCUUCAAAUGCACGCUGACAACUGCCCCUCUACCGUUUGCAGCCAAACACCACACACGGACUGUAAAUCAUCUCCCGUGGGCAAACAGAAUCCCAAAUCCUAACUGCAGUCACUUCCGUUUUUAAUCAAUUCCUACAGAUACUUAAAUAUGCGCAGCUAUUAUAAAAAUUAACCUUCCCUCCUAAAGUUCAGAAUCCAAGCAGCCCAUGUGAUCUGUCAUCAAUCUAGAACACAACUGAGAAGCCAAUCUUUCUGUGAAACCAUUAACAGAUUCUGCUUUUCUGUCACCAGGGUAAUUUACUGAGGCCAAUUUUAAUCCUGCCACUAAACCACUAAUCCCAUGACUCUACAGUCCCCAAGUUUACGUUGCUAUGGCAAGUACUUUUACAUGAGGAAUUCACUUAUUUACCACCAGUCAUGUUUUUUAAGUUGGCUCUAGGAAUAAGAUCAUCUUCCUCGCCUCUUACUUUAAAAAGUAAAAAGCCAUUUUUGGAAUAAGGACACCCCUCGAACACCUGGGCUGCGCUGUACUCAUCACAAUAACACUAAUGUAAAUUACGCAUGGUGUUACUCAAAGGGACAAAUUAUCGUCAUUAUGCUAAUGGUCACGCUAAAGACAUGAAAAGCUUUGGUGUGAUGAAUCUCAAUCUGGUGGGAAUAUGAUUAUCAAAUGUGAAUGAUGAUAUUUUCUCAAACUGGCAUAAAAAUGUUCUCUCCAUGUCACUGAUAAUGUCAAUAUAAAUUAUGCAUCACCAAAAGCAGCGUUCGUGCACGCCGCUGACAUGCUAUGAAGCGACACCCAGGCCCACCUUCCUAUCCACAGAUGCCCUGCUCUGAAGGCACACACACACACACACACACACACACACACACGAAUGAGUAUAAAUGUGUUUACUUCUUCCCUUAAAACAGGAAAAACAGUCUGAUUAAAGCUAAUGAGACAGAUUGAACGAGAAGGGCACCGAAAGACGCGUGAGCUCUGGUGGCAAGGCCACAGCCGUACAGGAUGUUAACAAUGGAAGCAUAAUCUUCCAUGCUGUUCCCUCUUCAUAAAUUCCCGGGAUGUCGCCUUAGCAGCCACUCUGGUGAAUUAAACACAAGACUCUCCAAAAAUUCAAAAGCAGUAUCUGUAAACAAAACAAAUCACUAAGUGAAAGCAUCCCGCUCUGCCUCUGGAUAAUUCCAGAAUAGCACCACAAAAGUUUAAACUGUGAAACCAGAUUGUCCAUCUGUUCAUUGAUUAGACCAUCCACUAAAAAAAAAAAAAAAAAAAAAAA
rnacentral:lncRNA from 1 species